AGAAAGUACAAGGAUGCGUUGAAGACCAUCCGCUCUCCAGUGAGCUCCUCUGCCUCGACGUCCACCAGCUCUGGCGCCAGAGGUCCUGUCAUCGAAUUGUCAUUGUUUAUGCAUCAUAAUCGAUCUCAGUAAUUCAAGUAGAAGAAGAAGAUCAUUAUGAAACAGUGAGGAAGAGGAAGGGUGGCAGUGUUACCUGAUAAUAAAUCGGUGAGAGAAAGCUUUUGGGAGGAGGGAGGGAGAGAGAGAUUGGUUGGUGCCAAAUGGUGAAUUAAAUCUCAAUCUUGGAUUUGUGAUGUAUUGUCUGAGGAGGGAGGGAGAGAGAGAAAUUGGGUUGUGGGUCGAAGGAGGAGGGAGGGAGGGAGAGAAACUGGGUUGUGGGUCGGAGGAGGGGGGACAGGGUUGGUGUGUGGUGGUCGUGAGUGUUUGGGGCGGGGGGCAGCGCGAGGAACCGUCACUGGGUUAGUAGUGAGUGAAAAGACUAAAUUACCCUUUAAAAAUUAAUAAUGGCACAAGAGUUAAUGGUGUUAUUAACGGCAUGUACAAAAAUGUGUCGGGUUUUGAACCUCAUGUACCAUUGCGAUUUUUUGUAAAGUAUAUAAACCUUAAUUCUCAGUGGCCUA